UGUGAGGUUAAGCGACUAAGCGUACACGGUGGAUGCCCUGGCAGUCAGAGGCGAUGAAGGACGUGCUAAUCUGCGAUAAGCGUCGGUAAGGUGAUAUGAACCGUUAUAACCGGCGAUUUCCGAAUGGGGAAACCCAGUGUGAUUCGUCACACUAUCAUUAACUGAAUCCAUAGGUUAAUGAGGCGAACCGGGGGAACUGAAACAUCUAAGUACCCCGAGGAAAAGAAAUCAACCGAGAUUCCCCCAGUAGCGGCGAGCGAACGGGGAGCAGCCCAGAGCCUGAAUCAGUGUGUGUGUUAGUGGAAGCGUCUGGAAAGGCGCGCGAUACAGGGUGACAGCCCCGUACACAAAAAUGCACAUACUGUGAGCUCGAUGAGUAGGGCGGGACACGUGGUAUCCUGUCUGAAUAUGGGGGGACCAUCCUCCAAGGCUAAAUACUCCUGACUGACCGAUAGUGAACCAGUACCGUGAGGGAAAGGCGAAAAGAACCCCGGCGAGGGGAGUGAAAAAGAACCUGAAACCGUGUACGUACAAGCAGUGGGAGCCUCUUUAUGGGGUGACUGCGUACCUUUUGUAUAAUGGGUCAGCGACUUAUAUUCUGUAGCAAGGUUAACCGAAUAGGGGAGCCGAAGGGAAACCGAGUCUUAACUGGGCGUUAAGUUGCAGGGUAUAGACCCGAAACCCGGUGAUCUAGCCAUGGGCAGGUUGAAGGUUGGGUAACACUAACUGGAGGACCGAACCGACUAAUGUUGAAAAAUUAGCGGAUGACUUGUGGCUGGGGGUGAAAGGCCAAUCAAACCGGGAGAUAGCUGGUUCUCCCCGAAAGCUAUUUAGGUAGCGCCUCGUGAAUUCAUCUCCGGGGGUAGAGCACUGUUUCGGCAAGGGGGUCAUCCCGACUUACCAACCCGAUGCAAACUGCGAAUACCGGAGAAUGUUAUCACGGGAGACACACGGCGGGUGCUAACGUCCGUCGUGAAGAGGGAAACAACCCAGACCGCCAGCUAAGGUCCCAAAGUCAUGGUUAAGUGGGAAACGAUGUGGGAAGGCCCAGACAGCCAGGAUGUUGGCUUAGAAGCAGCCAUCAUUUAAAGAAAGCGUAAUAGCUCACUGGUCGAGUCGGCCUGCGCGGAAGAUGUAACGGGGCUAAACCAUGCACCGAAGCUGCGGCAGCGACGCUUAUGCGUUGUUGGGUA
rnacentral:rRNA from 1 species